AGAGUUUGAUCAUGGCUCAGGAUGAACGCCGGCGGUGUGCCUAAUACAUGCAAGUCGAACGCGUUGGCCCAACUGAUUGAACGUGCUUGCACGGACUUGACGUUGGUUUACCAGCGAGUGGCGGACGGGUGAGUAACACGUAGGUAACCUGCCUCAAAGCGGGGGAUAACAUUUGGAAACAGAUACUAAUACCGCAUAACAAUUUGAAUCGCAUGAUUCAAAUUUAAAAGAUGGUUUCGGCUAUCACUUUGGGAUGGACCUGCGGCGCAUUAGCUUGUUGGUAGGGUAACGGCCUACCAAGGCUGUGAUGCGUAGCCGAGUUGAGAGACUGAUCGGCCACAAUGGAACUGAGACACGGUCCAUACUCCUACGGGAGGCAGCAGUAGGGAAUCUUCCACAAUGGGCGCAAGCCUGAUGGAGCAACACCGCGUGAGUGAAGAAGGGUUUCGGCUCGUAAAGCUCUGUUGUUAGAGAAGAACGUGCGUGAGAGUAACUGUUCACGCAGUGACGGUAUCUAACCAGAAAGUCACGGCUAACUACGUGCCAGCAGCCGCGGUAAUACGUAGGUGGCAAGCGUUAUCCGGAUUUAUUGGGCGUAAAGCGAGCGCAGGCGGUUCGAUAAGUCUGAUGUGAAAGCCUUUGGCUUAACCAAAGAAGUACAUCGGAAACUGUCAGACUUGAGUGCAGAAGAGGACAGUGGAACUCCAUGUGUAGCGGUGGAAUGCGUAGAUAUAUGGAAGAACACCAGUGGCGAAGGCGGCUGUCUGGUCUGCAACUGACGCUGAGGCUCGAAAGCAUGGGUAGCGAACAGGAUUAGAUACCCUGGUAGUCCAUGCCGUAAACGAUGAGUGCUAGGUGUUGGAGGGUUUCCGCCCUUCAGUGCCGCAGCUAACGCAUUAAGCACUCCGCCUGGGGAGUA
rnacentral:rRNA from 1 species